rnacentral:rRNA from 1 species
UUCACACAGGUGAGUUUGAUCAUGGCUCAGAACGAACGCUGGCGGCAGGCUUAACACAUGCAAGUCGAACGCCCCGCAAGGGGAGUGGCAGACGGGUGAGUAACGCGAGGGAAUCUACCGUGCCCUGCGGAAUAGCUCCGGGAAACUGGAAUUAAUACCGCAUACGCCCUACGGGGGAAAGAUUUAUCGGGGUAUGAUGAGCUCGCC